GGUGCUUGUCGUGGCAUAUAUGGACGGAAAGAAAUAAAAGGUAUAGGCAGCACAUUAGUAGACCUCCUGAGGUAGUCCUUAAGGAGGUCAUUAAAGACAUCAGUCUCUCCUUUGAUUCAGUGUAUUACAAGAAGAGUUGUUGUCACCCUUUGGAGAUAUCUAUGAUGGAAGUAUGGGAGACCAACCUUCUGAGGCAGCGUAUCUAGUUACUGUAUAACUAGACUACAUAGCUAAUGGGAGAGAGUCAAUGAGCAUUUUGCUCAUUUCUUUUUUACUUCUAUUUUAUUCCUAUUCUCUAUUUUGUAAACUUGGCAUUAGCCUUAUUCUAAUGAAAUUUAAUUGCUUCAAAAAAAAAAAAAAAAAAAA
rnacentral:lncRNA from 1 species